rnacentral:rRNA from 1 species
CCGGCAGCUCGAGUGAUGGCCAAUAUUAUUGGGCCUAAAGCGUCCGUAGCUGGCCGAACAGGUCUGUCGGGAAAUCCGCUCGCUCAACGAGCGGACGUCCGGCGGAAACCAGUCGGCUUGGGACCGGAAGACCCGAGGGGUACGUCCGGGGUAGGAGUGAAAUCCUGUAAUCCUGGACGGACCACCGGUGGCGAAAGCGCCUCGGGAGGACGGAUCCGACAGUGAGGGACGAAAGCUUGGGUCACGAACCGGAUUAGAUACCCGGGUAGUCCAAGCUGUAAACGAUGCUCGCUAGGUGUGGCACUGGCUACGAGCCAGUGCUGUGCCGUAGGGAAGCCGAGAAGCGAGCCGCCUGGGAAGUACGUCCGCAAGGAUGAAACUUAAAGGAAUUGGCGGGGGAGCACGGGGCGGGGGCGGCGGGCCGGGCGCGGGGCGCGGCGGGCG